CUGCGUUGGCAAUAUUUUUAUGUAUUUUCUGCAUAAAGCUCCCGUUCCACACUCCAGUCCGAUAGGUGGCGGUAAUGCACUGCGUGUCGGCAACAUCGCUGCUGCUGUUAGCAAAGAUAAACACAUGGAGACAGCACACUGAGACUUCCUGUUCAUCUCACUAGUCUUCCCAAAUGCAGUGACGGCAAUGUGAAUGGCUCUGAGGAGUUCGUGGCCUGCGUGGCUUUUAAACCGCACCAAAAAGGUAAGAAGGCUUCAGUCAAAUCCAGUCUUUCGUGUACAGGAUGAAAAAGGCAUGUUUUUUAAUGAAAGCGAGUGCAAAUCAAGAGCUGUAACAAGUUGUUUGGCAGGAAAAAACCCCACCAGCAGAAGCACAAGCUCCGGGGUCCUGAUGAUUAGCAAUUUCCCUUACAAAUCUCAUUCCUAGGUAACAAGGGAACAUCUGCUGAAGGAAGUAGGUUCUCUCCUCGCUGAAGUGUACAGUGAGGUCUUGGCUUUCUAUUCCACAUGGCUCGACUUUAGUUGGCUCCUCCACAUGCUUCAGUGACACCAGAGGUCGGCAUCAUAGUGACUGGCAUAUGUUUUGUGUGUGAAGUGUUCCCUCGUUUAUCGCAGGGUUCCCAAAAUAGCCCGCAAUAAGUGAAAUCUGCGAAGUAGCCGACUAUUUUUGUUAGAAUUUUAAUGAUAAACCUACUAGGUGUAAUUAUUAAGUGAGUCACGCGUAUGUCACUCUCCUGUCCGUGCCUCUUCAUCCCGGUGCCGCUCCUCCGAAGCGUUUUUGUAUCCUUGCUAACACGUAUUGCUCCUGUCAUCGGAUUUUCCUCCAUGAACCAAAGAGCUGUUUAUUUUGUAAUGACGCCCUACGGCCGCAACUUGUAGCAUGUCCAGAAGUCCAACUUUUUGUGUGAUGGUUGGCUUCCUCUGCCUUUUGGGUGCAGAACGUUUCAUUGACAUUGAGGGUUUUGUCUGGGGGGGGGGGGGGGAACCUAGCAACCAUAGAGCGUUCAAAACCACACUGUUAGCAUCUUCGGUUUCUUCUAUUGUUGUUGGCGGUUAGCAAGCAGCUCACACGGUUAGCUAGUUUGCUAGCAAUGGCCACAACAGCAGACAACAUGAAGGAUAUUGACUGAUUGGUUGACAGUGGUCUACAGCCAGUCAGGACGCAGAAGAGAAUGGGCGGUGCCGACAGAAGAGACACAGCCACCUCGUGUUAAAGCACGGAACUACAACACUCAACUUCCCACAAUGCAGUUCUUCUUAAAGGGCCAAGCUCUGUCUGUAACAGCGUUCAUACAAAACAUUUUUAAAAAAGCACUAAAAUUGCACCAAAAAAAAAUCUGUGAAACUGAGUCCGCAAAAAGGUGAACUGCGAGGGAACACUGCCUGGCAGUGGUGUGCCAUCAGGUCCAGCAAAGCACUGACAUACAUUUACAAAAGAGUUGUUCCAUGAAAUUGUAUUCAUUUAUUCCCACCAGUCUGCACUGCUAAUCUAAUCUGCCCAGGGCCUUCAAAAUCGGCAGUGCGGGCAGGUAUCACAAACAGCUGUUUUUUUUUUUUUUUUUUAACUAAUCAGAUUUCAGAUUCUCCUCACAGGGCCAGCUAGCUGGCCUACAAUAAAAACAACAGUUUUCCGUCCUCUGUUUGAUCAGAGCAAAAAAAGCCAAGCUGGACUUGAAUAGUCUGUAGCGAUUUGCACACAAUGAUGCCCACCAGCAAAGCUAGGCACUGUAAAGAGUGGUUGACCGACCCGGAAGCUAGCUAGCUUGGGGAAGUGUUUGCUCGCCACUUCCAGACCAGUGCUUACGAGUGGUACAGCUGUUUUGAUGUUUGUGUUAUUAAAUAAAUAUUGAUUCUGAAUGGUUGCCCGUGUGAGUCACAAAAUGCUCAAAGAAACUAGCAUAAAAGUAACUUGCGUAUCAGCGACAAUGUUUUUGGAGGUUUAACUGUGGGUGUCGUGCUUUAGCAAUCUCCCAAUUCAUCCCCAAAAUGUGACAUGCUCUCUGUAACGCCAUGCCUUGUUAUAUUGUGUUUUUCUGUAUUAUCUGUGGGUUGCAUGUAUGCUGCAAUGCAAUAGUGGUGGUUUGAGUCUCUACUGAAGGCCCAGGUACCAAAUGCACCGCCGACCACUGGUGAAGGGACAAGUGGUUGUCUGAUACGACAAACGCAUGUGAUGUGGUCGUAAAGUCACAGUAGAUUUGCACACAGCAGUGUCCGCAUAAAUGACGAACUCGCAUCAAACCUGCAGACCAACUGUUACUUGAAUAAACCUAAAUAAGAGUUUUACGAGUGCACAUUCUGGAGAAAUGCAUCUUAUCAAGGGACUAUGCAUUGUGGCACCUCCUUGCAGCGGCGUGACACACUGUGCAUGUGGCGCCACAAAGAUGACACUUCACUGCUCUUCUCGUCCUUGGAUGGGUAAGAUGAAUAUGGCAAAUCAGAGAUCAGCUUUAGGCCAUUGCUAAUGUUCAUCAUAUCAAACAGUGUUUGUGCAGGGCUUUAGAUAAUCAUCAUGCAGAGAGCAUUGUCUUCCAAUAAUGCAUCUACUGCUGAUGUAAGAUUAGAAUGUGUUGCCAUAUAAUCCUGGAGGAGGAGUUAUUUCAUGAAGUAAUCUCAGUUGUUGUUGUUGUUUUUUUUUUUUUUUUUUUUUCUGCGUAGACUUCUGUGAUGUGCUCAUUUCCUGAAGGGAGAAACGGCAUCCAGUGCAAAAAAAAAAAAACAACAAAAAAAAUCCAAUAAAAAGAUUGAUUGUCCUGUGCCUUGUUGAUGAGGCUAAUACACAAUUGAUGAUUCUUUGGAAAUAAAUAAAUAAAGCAGAACAUUUCUUGUUCUUUUUUUUUCCCCCCCCUUAUUUUCAGUCUCUUCACAAGGAGCUCAGCCCACCAUUGACAGCUUUUGUGUUUUAAAUGCAUCCAGCCACUGCUGUUCAAUCCCAUCCCAACCCAGACAUUGCUAUCUCUCAUGAGCAGAUGCAGUUGGCACUGACGAUUAGGAAAGAUUUCGAUGGUUAGAUUUUGUUUUCUUUGAAGAACCAAGAACCGCACAGGACUCAGCAGGGGACCCCGUUGCUCCCAUUAUGCCCGUUAUAUGGCUGCCAUACAUAAUGACAA